rnacentral:rRNA from 1 species
CUCGCCUGUUUAACAAAUACAUGUCUUUUUGAAUUAUUUAAAAAGUCUAACCUGCCCACUGAAUUAUUUUAAAUGGCCGCAGUAUCCUAACUGUGCAAAGGUAGCAUAAUCAUUAGUCUUUUAAUUGAAGGCUGGUAUGAAUGGUUGGACGAGAUAUUAACUGUUUCAUAAAAAUUUAUAAUAGAAUUUUAUUUUUUAGUCAAAAAGCUAAAAUAAAUUUAAAAGACGAGAAGACCCUAUAAAUCUUUAUAUUUAGAUAAUUACAAUUUUGUGGAUUUUUUUUGUUGUGAUUGUUGAUAAUAUUUUAUUGGGGUGAUAUUAAAAUUUAAAAAACUUUUAAUUAAUUAAAUCAUUAAUUUAUGAAUAAUUGAUCCGUUAUUAACGAUUAAAAAUUUAAGUUACUUUAGGGAUAACAGCGUAAUUUUUUUGGAGAGUUCAUAUCGAUAAAAAAGAUUGCGACCUCGAUGUUGGAUUAAGAGAUAUAUUUUGGUGUAGCCGCUAAAAUGUUAAGUCUGUUCUACUUUUAAAUUCUUACGUGAUCUGAGUUCAGACCGGA